GUAGUCUGCAACUCGACUACAUGAAGCUGGAAUCGCUAGUAAUCGCGAAUCAGAAUGUCGCGGUGAAUACGUUCCCGGGUCUUGUACACACCGCCCGUCACACCAUGGGAGUUGGUAACGCCCGAAGUCAGUGACCCAACCUUAGGGAGGGAGCUGCCGAAGGCGGGACUGAUAACUGGGGUGAAGUCGUAACAAGGUAUC
rnacentral:rRNA from 1 species